AUCUAAGAGGAGUUAGCCAUAAUAUGUAAAUGGGAGGGAAAUGAGUAUUGCCACACUGCUGACACCAGAGCUGUGUUUUUCCUUUGUGGAGAAACAUGAAUAAGAGAGGAGAGGAGCAUGACAAGAGAGAGACAGUGUGAGCAGCUGCAGCUCCCUCCCCUCAUAAGCCGCCUCACUCACCACCCCCUCCACCAGCCUAAUUCUCUGCUUCCCUUGGCCUUCAAGAUGCUGGACAUUUUCAUCCUGAUGUUUUUUGCCAUCAUUGGCCUAGUCCUGCUAUCAUACAUUAUCUACAUAUUGUGAGGAACCAUGCUGAGCCAAGGGAUGCUUAAACCCUUGCUUGCAGGUGAAAAGAUGUGCCAACGUCACCAAGCCAAACACUUGAUACGCAAAGCUCCUUAUGUGCCAGGGGAGUGUCUUGUAGGCAAUGAAAGCUAUGGAUUGCUGUGACUAUGGACAGUAUAGGACAGUGCUGCUCACUUGAAGAGACCCGAAACAGUGAAGAAAGAAAAUUCUUAUCUAGUAAAGGGGAACCAUACCAAAAGUGUAAUUUUUUUUCUUAACUUAUGUUGCUCAAUGAUCGUACAUAAUAAAUGUAAUUGCAAACUGCA